AUGGAACCUCGAGUGCCAGCCAUUCUCAACGCCCGGCCUGGCCAUCUGUCCCGUUCAGAACCAAAUGUUCACAGGACGCUCGCUCUGUCCCAGAACCACGGAGCUUCUGAUGACAGGAACAGAGCCGAAGUCUCCAACCCCGUCGAGCCUCUUCCAGAACUCCCAGGUCCCAGCUCGGAUAGCGGUGCUCGUGCUGUGUCAGUCGCUGCCUUGCACACGAGCUGCUCGUGUCUGCCCCCGAAGACAGAAGGCGCAUCUUUGAUGUCCCGACAGCAAUUAAGUGACAAGCUGAACAUCGCACACUCCGCUCGUCUACCAGGGAAAAGGCAGCUUCACCGGCUAUAUCCACCUGGAGAGGGUGUGUUCUCAUUAAGUCAGAACCGAAGGAAGAAAUUGAACUUUUGAUGUAAGAUGACACUACUGCAAUAUUUUAGAUUUUAAGUGCUAAUGCGUGCUAGGUUGCUUCAUUCGUGUCUGACUCUGUGUGAUCCCGUGGACUGUAGCUUGUCAGGCUCCUCUGUCCAUGGGAUUCUCCAGGCAAGAAUACUGGAGUGGGCUGCCAUUUCCUUCUCCAGGGGAUCUUCCUGACCCAGGGAUCAAUACAAGUCAUCAUGGUAUUUAAUGUAUGGAACCAAGUUCUGCCCCAUUUGAGUUUAAAAUGAUGGGCUCAAAAAAAGGCAUCUCAGAAUAAAACGGAAGACCUAUUACA
rnacentral:lncRNA from 1 species